UUACGGGCUUGGCUCAAGGGCACCUCAGUGGUGCUAAUGAGGGAGCCAAGCUUUCCCCACCCACAUUUGAUCCUGUUGGUCUGGGGAUUGAACCGACAACCUCCCGGUCACAAGCUCUCUUCUCAAACCUUCAGGCCACCACUGCCAAAAAAUACAU